GAGAGAAAGACUCUUCUCAUCUUCUUCACAACCUGAAAGAGAGAGAGAUUUACGAAAAAAAAGUUAGAGAGAGAGAGAGAGAGGGUUUGUUCUGAUGUCUACGGAGAGCAAACAAGCCCUAACUUGGCCCGUUCGGUUCAGAGAGCCACGCCGAUUCGAUUAUCUCAUCGCUCCCAGAUGCCUCUCCGAUCGAGUCCUCCUGGAUAAAAUCUCUCGCCUCCGCUUCUGGUGAUGGAUCCGUUCAGAAUCGUCUCUCGUCGACUCCUACUCUCGAACUCGCCUCUUCUCUUCUCCUCGAUUCCACUAAAUUCCGGAAACGAGCUUCUGUCACAAUGACUAGGGUUUAGGGUCAACAUACAAAUCAGAGGACGAUUCAUUCAAUGGCAAUCUGAUGAUUCUAUUGAACGAUGAUAGUUUUUCACAGUCCCCCCGACUCAGCACGACGACCUUCCUUGUCUUCUUCGUUCGCUUCAAGUUCCGGUCCACAGACAACAGAAUGGUUCACUUCCUUCACAGAAUUGGGGAUGACGCAGCAACAACAACCAUGGAAUGGAAACUCAAUAACCUUUGUCUUAAUCUCCUGUAAAUGUUGAAUAUGGUGCAGCUUCUGAAAAGUUUAUCAUUAAACCGUGGACAACCCCACUUAUGUCCUGCACCGUGGAUUAUCCCAAAACCAGUUGGAGAUGAAACUUUCUGUCUCCAAUCUCCACACACAUAAUGGUUCACUUUCUCCAUAGAAUCCGGGAUGAUGCACUAUAUGACGCUUCAACAACAACGUUUGUAUGAAUUUAGUAUCCUUUUUCUUGGAUCUCUGUCUCUGUGUGUCGAAGGUAGAUGGAAUUUGUGGUGGUGGUGGUUUACUCGCUGCUGGGUUAUUUGAGGUUUCCUUCAACAUUGGCGAAUCUAUAGAGAAUGGAGAUAUUGAUUCAGGAUACCAACGCAAAGGCGACAACAAAUAUAAUUUCAGACUUCUCUAUUUGAUAGCUAAAAGGCGCAUUGGGUCAAGCUGCCACAAUGUUGCAGCAGCUUCCUCCCUUUAUCAAGGAUACUUUAGCCGGUGGUCGUAGAAAUCCCCUGAGUGGAUCCUUUGAAAGAUUCUCUAUAACAGAUUUCAUACAUGUCUUACUAGGAGAGCCUCCUAGUAUACAAAGGUUUAUUUAUCCUUGUAUACAACCAUUGGUUCAAUGGCUGCUGAUCUGCUUGUCAAAAGCGAUAGUAACGUGUGUGAUUCACUGUCCAUCUCAAGUCUCAAGGUUGCUCUAGCCUACAACGAGGCGGUAUCAAGUGGAAGAUUGACCUCUACAGGUGGCUUUGUACAAUCGAUCUUCUUAGCAUCACCGAGAAAGCGAUGUGAAGAGAUAUUGAAUUGCUCAACGGAGUUGAAGAAUAAUUUGAGGAACUAUUUGACGACAGAAGCAUGGCCUGAUGAUGAGUAUAAUUCAAAGUUGCAGAAAGAUAUACUCAUUCUCUCAGGGUAUUUAAAAUGGUUCAGUGUACCAUCUCCAUCGAUCAUCAAAGCAGCAGUGGAAAAAAUCAAAUCCAAGUCCAAAAACUCAACUUCGGCAAUACCUUUGUUGCGGUUGUCGUUACCGAGUUCGCAUAUCAGUGAAAUUGAUAGGCUCUAUUCUUUUAACUCAAAUGAAACAACUGUAUCGUGAAAACAUGAUUUUCUUCGUUUGAGCUGUUAUAAUGAGUAAGAUUAAAUUUUUGAAGCAAA